CCUGGAGGGUUCCCUAGCACCGCCCCCUCCGGAAGCGGAAGUCCCGCCUCCCUCGUAGCCCGACCCUGACCCUAUCGCGGGGCGGGGGCAGAGUCCGCUGUCCGUCAGUGCAGCAGCAGUUGCGAGCAUGGCUGCCCCAUCUGGAGAUCAGAUUUACAGAGAGGUGCAGGAUUAUUAUGGUAAAGAGUUGCAGAAAUCAGAGGAUCUGCAAACCAACGCCUGUGUCACCUUGGCUAGGCCUUUGCCCACGUUCAUAAAGGAGGCUCUGAAGUGUGUCCAUGAUGAUGUUGUGUCAAGGUACUAUGGCUGCGGCCUGGUGAUCCCAGAGUGCCUGGAGACCUGUUGGAUAUUGGAUCUGGGGAGUGGGAGUGGCAGGGAUUGCUAUAUGCUGAGUAAACUAGUUGGGGAGAAAGGGCAUGUCACUGGAAUAGACAUGACCGACACCCAGGUAGAAGUGGCAAAGAAGCACAUUGACUAUCACAUGAAGAAAUUUGGCUACCAGGUGCCUAACGUGGACUUCAUCCAUGGCUACAUGGAAAAGCUGGGAGAUGCUGGCCUUAAAGAUGAGAGUUAUGAUAUAGUUAUCUCAAACUGCGUGAUUAACCUCUCGCCUGAUAAGAGAGCAGUCCUGCAGGAGGCCUAUCGAGUGCUAAAGGCUGGUGGAGAGAUGUAUUUCAGCGAUGUCUAUGCCAGCUGUGACCUGCCUGAGGACAUCAGGAAACACAGGGUCCUCUGGGGCGAGUGCCUGGGAGGAGCCCUGUGGUGGAAGGACCUCUACAGAAUUGCUGAGGAAGUUGGAUUCUGCCCACCACGCUUGGUGACCGCCAGCCGAAUAACCAUCAAUAACAAGGAACUGGAGAGUGUCGUCGGUGACUGUCAGUUUGUCUCUGCAACUUUCCGUCUCUUCAAAGUACCCAAGAAAGGCCCGGCCGAGCGGUGCCAGGUUAUUUACAACGGCGGGAUCACCGGGCAUGAGAAAGAGCUGGAAUUUGAUGCCAAUUUCACAUUCAAGAGCUGGCCGUGCGGUGGGUGCUGGGUCCUGCCGCGUUCUUCUCGGCUGUGUGUGACGCCCCCUCUGUUUCCCAGGAAGGGGAGGUUGUGGAAGUGGAUGCAGAAACUGCAGCCAUUUUACGGAGCUCCAGGUUUGCCGAGGAGUUCCUGAUCCGACUGGCUGCAGGGAGGGCACCUGGGGGCUGUUGUCCUGCAAAAGUAAAGGAGAAGAUCGUUGAUCCGUUCCAAUUAGUGGAGCAUCUGGAAGCAAAGGACCUUGCUCCCAAGCCAGCGGGCUGCUGUGGCCCCAAAGGGUGCUGCUGAAAAGCUGAGUAUCUAGCAGCAGGAGCCAGGAGAGCAGAGGCUGAAGAAUCAGAGCUGUUUUUGUUACUCAUCGCUGAACAGCAAUUAAAAAUUAAUAGCGGGGGUAACGAAGCUGAGCAUUUCACGGCUUCACAGCACUGCACAGGUACUGCGGAAUGAGAUGAAAUAAACCCCAGCUGUCACCCGGGUUCCUGCCCUGGUGCAUGGCUGCAAUCAGAAGA